AACGAACGCUGGCGGCAUGCCUAACACAUGCAAGUCGAACGAGAUCUUCGGAUCUAGUGGCGCACGGGUGCGUAACGCGUGGGAAUCUGCCCUGGCGCUCGGAAUAACAGUGAGAUAUUACUGCUAAUACCGGAUGAUGUCUUCGGACCAAAGAUUUAUUGCCCAGGGAUGAGCCCGCGUAGGAUUAGCUAGUUGGUGGGGUAAUGGCCUAGCAAGGCGAAGAUCCUUAGCUGGUCUGAGAGGAUGAUCAGCCACACUGGGACUGAGACACGGCCCAGACUCCUGCGGGAGGCAGCAGUGGGGAAUAUUGGACAAUGGGCGAAAGCCUGAUCCAGCAAUGCCGCGUGAGUGAUGAAGGCCUUAGGGUUGUAAAGCUCUUUUACCAGGGAUGAAAAUGACAGUACCUGGAGAAUAAGCACCGGCUAACUCCGUGCCAGCCGCCGCCGUAA
rnacentral:rRNA from 1 species